CGGCCGGCGGGGGCGAGGGCUGGCCGCCUGCCCCUCGGCAGGGCCCGGCACCAGGGGGACAGCUGCGGGGCGCGGUGUCGGGCGAGCGGCGGGCGACGCGGGAGCGCCGGCAGCGCGGGGAGGCAGCGCCAGCUCGAGGUGGUCCCGUCCAGGCCUCCCCGACACCGUGCCGCGGAGAGGACGUCGGCCGCGUCGGUGGUGUGAGGGCGUCUCCGGCCUCUUCACCGCCUGCUCGGCCUGUGCUUGCAGGACGGGCUCUUGCAGCGCGGGUUCCUCCCUGCAUUUGCAGAAGUCAGUGCUGUGUGGUUUCGGGAGCUCGGUACCUCACUUUCUCUCCUUUGCACACUUUUAAAUAGUUGUGUUUAGCACGUAAUUUAAUAGAGAACAUGAAGUGUCAGCUUUGUAUUGAAUAAUUCUAGGAGCAGCAAUGCUAGUUCCUAAGAUUAUUCCAAGAAUGAUGUUUUCUUUUGGGUUUGUUUGUUUUUUUUUGGUUUUUUUUUUUUUCUUUUGCCAGCAGCAAAUUGCAUCCCUGUGUAUAGAAACCUGGCUGGAGGCUGCAGUUCUCAGAAACCUGCAUAUUAUAAAACUGAUCAAAAUUUGGCACAUCCAAGGGAUUUCUCUUACCAGCAGGAGAACUGAUAUGAAAGUUACAAAUAAUUGAUGUCUGUGAGUUGGUCUUUUUUUUAGCAUUCUCCCUUCAAUUUGACGUGUGUGCAUGCGUGCAGUUUGCAUAGCUUUUUCCUAACAUAGGACAGGAGGUAAAUGAAAAUACACAUAAUGACGUUCCUCAAAACCCAGGCACAAGUUUUGUUGACAAUGGAAAACAGAAUGAAGGAAGCUAACAUGAGUGAAACAUAAUUCUUUGUUCUUUUAUCACCAAUGUUUUGUCCUUUUUUUAAUCUCAAGAAGCAUCGCAAGCAGUAGCCCUGGUAGGCAUGCUUCAAACAUGAGAAAAUCCUCUCAUUACAUCAGAACAUUUCCCUUCAACUUGUGUAGUCGGUUUCUGUAUUCAUUUCAGUGCUAUCAAGGCUUCCUGUUUUCCUUUGUGCCCACCUCUGGCAUAAGCGAUCUCAAUAAGGAUACUAAUACCAAAGAAAAGCAGCUAGGUACCUUUAGCCACAAAUAACUGUGAAGCUAAAAAGCAGUAUUUUGACCUUGACUCUGUGUCUGGCAGUGCUGUAAUACAUGCAAUGUACUCAUCAAUGAAAGGAAGUGCUGCUAAUCUGAAAUACUGUGCCAUACAGCUUGUUCACACAGGAAAACUGUGGCUUAUACUACGUUAUAUGGAAUAUUUUAGAGUUGAAGAGAAACAUUAGGAAGGAAUAACCCAUAAUGAAAUUGACUGAGAGUUUCUGUAGAGUCUGAAAAAGAAACAUCAAUAAAAAAUACAUGGUAAAGCUAUUUUCAUAAAAUAAAGUGCAUGUUGUGAA